UACGGAGGGUGCAAGCGUUAUCCGGAUUCACUGGGUUUAAAGGGUGCGUAGGUGGAUUGGUAAGUCCGUGGUGAAAUCCCUGAGCUUAACUCAGGAACUGCCGUGGAUACUAUCAAUCUUGAAUACUGUGGAGGUAAGCGGAAUAUGUCAUGUAGCGGUGAAAUGCUUAGAUAUGACAUAGAACACCAAUUGCGAAGGCAGCUUGCUACUCAAUCAUUGACUCUGAGGCACGAAAGCGUGGGGAUCAAACAGG
rnacentral:rRNA from 1 species